rnacentral:rRNA from 1 species
GGUUCGACCUCGGAUC